rnacentral:rRNA from 1 species
GUAGGUGGCAAGCGUUGUCCGGAAUUAUUGGGCGUAAAGCGCGCGCAGGCGGUUCUUUAAGUCUGAUGUGAAAGCCCACGGCUCAACCGUGGAGGGUCAUUGGAAACUGGAGAACUUGAGUACAGAAGAGGAAAGCGGAAUUCCACGUGUAGCGGUGAAAUGCGUAGAGAUGUGGAGGAACACCAGUGGCGAAGGCGGCUUUCUGGUCUGUAACUGACGCUGAGGCGCGAAAGCGUGGGGAGCAAACAGGGAUUAGAUACCCCGGUAGUCCACGCCGUAAACGAUGAGUGCUAAGUGUUAGGGGGUUUCCCGCCCCCUUAGUGCUGCAGCUAACGCAUUAAGCACUCCGCCUGGGGAGUACGGCCGCAAGGCUG